CAGCGCCACGAGUGGCAACCAGCAUUAUUUGGCCUAAAGCGUCCGUAGCUGGUCUGGAAAAUCCUUUGUGAAAUCAUCGGGCCUAACCUGAUGGCGUGCAGGGGACACUACCAGACUCGAGACCGGGAGGAGUCAGAGGUAUUCAAGGGGGAGCGGUAAAAUGCUAUAAUCCCUUGAGGACCACCUGUGGCGAAGGCGUCUGACUAGAACGGUUCUGACAGUGAGGGACGAAAGCCAGGGGAGCGAUCCGGAUUAGAUACCCGAGUAGUCC
rnacentral:rRNA from 1 species